UACCCCCGAAAGGGGUGCUAAUACCGGAUGAUGUCGAAAGACCAAAGAUUGGUCGCCUUGGAUGGGCCCGCGUAGGAUUAGCUAGUUGGUGGGGUAAAGGCCUACCAAGGCGCGCGUGACGAUCCCAGCUGCUGGUCUUAGAGGAUGACCAGCCACACUGGGACUGGGAGCAGGACACGGCCCAGACACUCCAUGGGAGGCAGCAGGGGGGGGUAGAAUAUUGACACAAUGGGCAAGCCUGAUCCAGCAAUGCCGCGUGAAAGUGACAUGAACGCUGGGCCUGCUUAGGGUUGUGGUAGUUUCCUUUUAACACCCGGGAUGAUAAUGACAGUACCGGGAGAAUAAGCCCUCCCGGCUAACUCCGUGCCAGCAGCCGCGGUAAUACGGAGGGGGCUAGUUGUUCGGAAUUACUGGGCGUAAAGCGUGCGCAGGCGUCUCUGGAAAAGAAAGAGUGGAAACGAACCUAGAGCUUAACUUUGGGAACUGUACUUUAACUACUGAGCUAGAGUGGCCGAGGAGGUGGAAUUCCGCGUGUAGUGAAACAAUGGUGACAUAUGCGGAGGAAAAGGUAGUGGUAGGUGAAUCACCAUUGAUGGUGGUGGCGGGCGCGCCUCUGGGAUAACACUGACGCUCAUAAUGAAAGCGUGGGGACAAACAGGAUUAGAUACCCUAUAGUCCACGCCCUAAACGAUGUCAACUAUUGUUGGGGCUCUCGGGCCUGGUAGCAGCUAACGCGUGAAGUUGACCGCUCAGAGUACGGUCGCAAGAUUAAAACCUCCAAAGACCGACGGGGACCGCACAAGCGGUGAUAUGUGGAUUAAUUCGAUGCAACGCGAAAACCUUACCUACCCUUGACAUGUCUGGAAUCCCGAAGAGAUUUGGGAGUGCUCGCAAGAGAACCGGAACACAGGUGCUGUAUGGCUACCGCUCGUGUCGUGAGAUGUUGGGUUAGUCCCGAACGAGCGCAACCUUGUCAUUAGUUGUCACGAAAGGGCACUCUAAUGAGACUGCCGGUGACAAACCGGAGGAAGGUGGGGAUGACGUCAAGUCCUCAUGGCCCUUAUGGGUAGGGCUUCACACGUCAUACAAUGGCCGGCGAGGGUUUCUCAACCCGCGAGGGGGAGCCAAUCCCAGAAACCCGAUCGUAGUCCGGAUCGCAGUCUGCAACUCGACUGCGUGAAGUCGGAAUCGCUAGUGCAAUCGCAGUGAUCAGCAUGUCGCGGUGAAUACGUUCCGGGUCUUGUACACACCGCCCGUCACACCAUGGGAGUGGGUUUUACCAAGUAGUUAGCCUAACCGUAAGGAGGGCGAUUACCACGGUAGGAUUCAUGAUCGGGGUGAAGUCGUAACAAGGCAG
rnacentral:rRNA from 1 species